rnacentral:rRNA from 1 species
CAGCAGCCGCGGUAAUACAGAGGGUGCAAGCGUUAAUCGGAAUUACUGGGCGUAAAGCGCGCGUAGGCGGUUACGUAAGUUGGAUGUGAAAUCCCCGGGCUCAACCUGGGAAUUGCAUUCAAAACUGCGUGGCUAGAGUGUGGGAGAGGAAGGUAGAAUUCCAGGUGUAGCGGUGAAAUGCGUAGAUAUCUGGAGGAAUACCGAUGGCGAAGGCAGCCUUCUGGCCUAACACUGACGCUGAGGUGCGAAAGCAUGGGGAGCAAACAGGAUUAGAUACCCUGGUAGUCCAUGCCGUAAACGAUGUCUACUAGCCGUUGGGGGACUUGAUCCUUUAGUGGCGCAGCUAACGCAUUAAGUAGACCGCCUGGGGAGUACGGUCGCAAGACUAAAACUCAAAUGAAUUGACGG